CGUGAGGGAAAGGUGAAAAGAACCCCGGGAGGGGAGUGAAAUAGUACCUGAAACCUUGUGCUUACAAGCAGUCACAGCCCGUUAACGGGUGGUGGCGUACUUUUUGUAGAACGGUCCGGCGAGUUAUAGUCACUAGCGAGCUUAAGGUAUUCAGUACCGGAGGCGUAGGGAAACCGAGUCUGAACAGGGCGUAUGAAGUUAGUGGCCAUAGACCCGAAACCAUGUGACCUAGCCAUGAGCAGGAUGAAGUGGAGGUAAAGCUCCAUGGAGGUCCGAACGCACGUUCGUUGCAAUGACCGGCGAUGACUUGUGGCUAGCGGUGAAAUUCCAAUCGAACUUGGAGAUAGCUGGUUCUCCCCGAAAUAGCUUUAGGGCUAGCGUUGGCAAUGAGUUUCCCGGAGGUAAAGCACUGAAUGAGCUAGGGGGCGCGAGCUUACUGAACUCUAUCAAACUAAGAAUGCCGGAGAAAUGCUUACCAGCAGUCAGACUGCGAGUAAUAAAAUCCGUGGUCAAAAGGGUAACAGCCCAGACCCACAGCUAAGGUCCCCAAUACAUGCUAAGUGGAAAACGAUGUGAGAUCGCAUAAACAACCAGGAUGUUGGCUUAGAGGCAGCCACUCGUUCAAAGAGUGCGUAAUAGCUCACUGGUCGAGUGAUUUUGCGCGGAAAAUUUAACGGGGCUAAGCAUGUAACCGAAGCUUGGGAUUGCGCAAUUGCGCAGUGGUAGGGGAGCGUCGUGUACGGGGUGAAGUCGCACCGGAAGGAGCGGUGGACUGUACACGAGUGAGAAUGCCGGAAUGAGUAGCGAGAAUUAUGUGAGAAUCAUAAUGGCCGAAAGACUAAGGUUUUAGAAGGAAGGUUCGUCCGCUUCUAGUCAGCCGGGAGCUAAGGCGAGGCCGAAAGGCGUAGUCGAUGCACAUACGGUGGAGAUUCCGUAGCCGCCAUUAAUUUAAACAGAGGGACACUUUCAAGGGGCAUGACCCGGGCGUUGGUAGACCCGGGCGUAAGGGACCGAAAAUUAGUAGGGAAGCAUGCUUUAAGGAAGGCGAGAAAAGCUCUGUGUAUAGAAGAUGGCGCCCGUACCGCAAACCGACACAGGUAGUCAGGAAGAGAAUUCUAAGGCCAACGGGAGAAGGGUAGUUAAGGAACUCGGCAAAUUGACCCCGUAACUUCGGAAUAAGGGGUGCUCACGAGAGUGAGCCGCAGUGAAUAGGUCCAGGCGACUGUUUAUCAAAAACACAGCUCUCUGCUAAAUCGAAAGAUGACGUAUAGGGGGUGACACCUGCCCGGUGCUGGAAGGUUAAGAGGAAGGGUGCAAGCUCUGAAUUGAAGCCCCAGUAAACGGCGGCCGUAACUAUAACGGUCCUAAGGUAGCGAAAUUCCUUGUCGGGUAAGUUCCGACCCGCACGAAUGGUGUAACGAUCUGGACACUGUCUCAACUACCCACCCGGCGAAAUUGUAGUACCGGUGAAGAUGCCGGUUACCCGCGGCAAGACGGAAAGACCCCAUGGAGCUUUACUGUAACCUGAUAUUGGGUUUCGGUAUUUUAUGUACAGGAUAGGUGGGAGACUAUGAAACUAAGGCGCCAGCCUUAGCGGAGUCGCCCUUGGGAUACCACUCUUAAAGUACUGAAAUUCUAACCUGCGGCCGUGAAUCCGGUCGGGGGACAUUGUCAGGCGGGCAGUUUGACUGGGGCGGUCGCCUCCAAAAGAGUAACGGAGGCGCUCAAAGGUUCGCUCAGCAUGGUCGGAAACCAUGCCUUAGAGUGUAAACGCAAAAGCGAGCCUAACUGCGAGGCUGACGGGCCGAGCAGUAACGAAAGUUGGAGUUAGUGAUCCGGCGGUAUGUGAAUGGAAAUGCCGUCGCUCAACGGAUAAAAGCUACCCUGGGGAUAACAGGCUGAUCUCCCCCAAGAGUCCACAUCGACGGGGA
rnacentral:rRNA from 1 species